rnacentral:rRNA from 1 species
GGCGCAAGCCUGAUGCAGCCAUGCCGCGUGUGUGAAGAAGGCCUUCGGGUUGUAAAGCACUUUCAGUCGUGAGGAAGGUGGUGUAGUUAAUAGCUGCAUUAUUUGACGUUAGCGACAGAAGAAGCACCGGCUAACUCCGUGCCAGCAGCCGCGGUAAUACGGAGGGUGCGAGCGUUAAUCGGAAUUACUGGGCGUAAAGCGCAUGCAGGUGGUUUGUUAAGUCAGAUGUGAAAGCCCGGGGCUCAACCUCGGAAUAGCAUUUGAAACUGGCAGACUAGAGUACUGUAGAGGGGGGUAGAAUUUCAGGUGUAGCGGUGAAAUGCGUAGAGAUCUGAAGGAAUACCGGUGGCGAAGGCGGCCCCCUGGACAGAUACUGACACUCAGAUGCGAAAGCGUGGGGAGCAAACAGGAUUAGAUACCCUGGUAGUCCACGCCGUAAACGAUGUCUACUUGGAGGUUGUGGCCUUGAGCCGUGGCUUUCGGAGCUAACGCGUUAAGUAGACCGCCUGGGGAGUACGGUCGCAAGAUUAAAACUCAAAUGAAUUGACGGGGGCCCGCACAAGCGGUGGAGCAUGUGGUUUAAUUCGAUGCAACGCGAAGAACCUUACCUACUCUUGACAUCCAGAGAACUUUCCAGAGAUGGAUUGGUGCCUUCGGGAACUCUGAGACAGGUGCUGCAUGGCUGUCGUCAGCUCGUGUUGUGAAAUGUUGGGUUAAGUCCCGCAACGAGCGCAACCCUUAUCCUUGUUUGCCAGCGAGUAAUGUCGGGAACUCCAGGGAGACUGCCGGUGAUAAACCGGAGGAAGGUGGGGACGACGUCAAGUCAUCAUGGCCCUUACGAGUAGGGCUACA